rnacentral:tRNA from 1 species
GCCGGGGUGCCCGAGCGGACCAAGGGGCUGGCCUGGAGUUAUGCACGGACAGCCAGUGGGGGCCAACCCUGCGCGGGUUCAAAUCCCGCCCCCGGCG